CGGGGGGAGCAAGCGUUGUUCGGAUUUACUGGGCGUAAAGGGCGCGUAGGCGGUCAGCACAAGUCAGUUGUGAAAUCUCCGGGCUUAACUCGGAAAGGUCAACUGAUACUGUGCGACUAGAGUGCGGAAGGGGCAACUGGAAUUCUCGGUGUAGCGGUGAAAUGCGUAGAUAUCGAGAGGAACACCUGCGGCGAAGGCGGGUUGCUGGGCCGACACUGACGCUGAUGCGCGAAAGCCAGGGAGCGAACGGGAUUAGAUACCCCGGUACGUCCUGGCCUUAAACGAAUGGAUGCUUGGUGUCUGGAGUUUAUAGUCUCCGGGUGCCGUAGCUAACGCGUUAAGCAUCCCGCCUGGGAGUACGGUCGCAAGACUG
rnacentral:rRNA from 1 species